rnacentral:rRNA from 1 species
GACGGAGGUCCCGAGCGUUGUUCGGAAUUAUUGGGCUUAAAGCGCGUGUAGGCGGGAUGGCAAGUACCUUGUGAAAUCCCCGGACUCAAUCCGGGAACUGCUCGGUAUACUGCCGUUCUCGAGGCAGGUAGGGGUCACUGGAACCUUAGGUGGAGCGGUGAAAUGCGUAGAUAUCUAAGGGAACGCCUGUGGCGAAAGCGGGUGACUGGGCCUGUCCUGACGCUGAGACGCGAAAGCAUAGGGAGCAAACGGG